rnacentral:rRNA from 1 species
UAGCGGAGAAAUUCCAAUCGAACUCGGAGAUAGCUGGUUCUCCCCGAAAUAGCUUUAGGGCUAGCGUCGGAUAUGUGUAGUGGAGGUAGAGCACUGAAUGGGCUAGGGGGCAUAUCGCUUACCGAACCUUAUCAAACUCCGAAUGCCAUAUACAUUAAGUCCGGCAGUCAGACUACGAAUGAUAAGAUCCGUGGUCAAAAGGGAAACAGCCCAGAUCGUCAGCUAAGGUCCCAAAGUGUAAGUUAAGUGGAAAAGGAUGUGGGAUUUCUAAGACAACUAGGAUGUUGGCUUAGAAGCAGCCACUCAUUUAAAGAGUGCGUAAUAGCUCACUAGUCGAGAGAUCCUGCGCCGAAAAUGUCCGGGGCUCAAACUUACCACCGAAGCUACGGGCUUGCGUAAGCAAGCGGUAGGGGAGCGUCGUAAUCGGGCUGAAGUCGUACCGUAAGGAGCGGUGGACUGAUUACGAGUGAGAAUGUUGGCAUUAGUAGCGAGAUGUAGGUGAGAAUCCUACAGGCCGAAUAUCUAAGGUUUCCUCAGGAAGGCUCGUCCGCUGAGGGUUAGUCGGGACCUAAGCCGAGGCCGAAAGGCGUAGGCGAUGGACAAUCGGUUGAUAUUCCGAUACCACUACCAUCGUUAUUAUCGAGGGUGUGACGGAGAAGGAUAGUGUGUGCUAGCGAUUGGAAAUGCUAGUCUAAGCGUUUAGGGAGUUACGGUAGGCAAAUCCGCUGUAACAAUUCUGAGGCGUGAUGGGGAAGGCCAUAUAGGCCGAAGUACAUGAUUCCAUGCUUCCAAGAAAAGCAUCUAGAGAGAGAAGUAGUGCCCGUACCGCAAACCGACACAGGUAGAUGAGGAGAGAAUCCUAAGGCCGGCGGAAGAAUUGCAGUUAAGGAACUAGGCAAAUUGACCCCGUAAGUUCGCGAGAAGGGGUGCCUGCGAGAGCAGGCCGCAGAGAAUAGGCCCAAGCAACUGUUUAGCAAAAACACAGGUCUCUGCUAAAGCGUAAGCUGAUGUAUAGGGGCUGACGCCUGCCCGGUGCUGGAAGGUUAAGGGGAACACUUAGCGCAAGCGAAGGUGUGAACUUAAGCCCCAGUAAACGGCGGCCGUAACUAUAACGGUCCUAAGGUAGCGAAAUUCCUUGUCAGGU